ACAGAGGCUGUGUGACCUGGGCUGUGACACUUCCCUUUCCUGAGCUUCUGUAAAUGCAAAUUUUCGUCCUUCCUCCCACCACACUGACAAUCAGCCAGUGAUUAGUGAGCAGUGACCACAUCCAGUCAUGGCACCAGGCGCUGGAGAUUCAUUGGUGAGGCGGCAGACUCCUCUGUAGGACUAGUGAAGCUGUGAUUAGUGACAACAGAGAAUACAAACUGUUGACAAUGGGAAAUUUGGCCAUAGUUUUGGUAACCUGUGGAGAAAGACAGAAACCAAGGACAGAGAGGUUCAGAGACAGGUGGACAUCUAGCAAGCUGAGUCACGGGAUCGUGGGAACUCUCUGGGAUUGAGAAUACAAUACAAGAUGGGGCGAGCACGAAUGUGCUGAGUGGUGUCAUCCUUGCCCCGGAUGGUGACCUCUUCUGGAACUGCAUCCUCAGGGAGUGGGGGGCCUGCUCCCACACAGGCUUUUAAUGCCCCACACGUGUUCCUGGAUUUUACCUCCAGGAAGCAGGAAAAUCGUCAGUAAGCAAAAACCGAGUCAUUCCUGCCUCCCCACUGCCUCUUGUCCUCCAGACAUGAGCUCUUCUGGAUUCUACCUCCAUGCUUUGUGCAAAUCACUAGCUGGAUGCAGGUAAUGCUUGUUAAUCCAUCGUCAGUUGGUGAACAUUUGAUUGUCACCACCUUUUGUCUCUUGUGAGUCCUUCUAUGAACAUACUUGCAUAGGUGUCUGCUCAAUUACCUGGAUGCAAUUCUUUUUCUUCUCUGUUUUUCAUUGUGGUAACAGGAGCGCUUAGCAUGAGACCUACCCUCUUUACAGAUUUCUGUGUCAGGACCCUAUUGUUUGCUCUAGGCAUGGAGUUGUCUGGGGAUCUCUAGAACUGUCUACCUUGCAGAACUACAACUUAUGCCCAGAAGUGGAAUUUCUUGGUGACAUGGUACUUCUGGGUUCAAGUUUUUAAGGAUCUGCCAUCUCUCGAUUUCAUGUAACUUGCACCCUACAAGUAAUGCAUUAGGUCUGUGUGCUCAUGCCCCCUGCCAUGAUUGAUAGUACACCUUAACUGUUUACAUCUCAUCUGGAGUCCUGGAACUCCAGUCUUGUGAUUUCACUGAAACUGGGCCAAGAGAAAUAGAAAUAAUCAUUCCACAUAAAAUGCAGGGAAACCUGGGUGCACUUUGGGGCUACCAGAGUGGCAUUAAUGCAUCCUAUGUUGACUUGUACUGUUUUGUGACAUCAGUUCUGCACAUUCCUCCCCAUAAGCCACCUCACAGUGGUACCUUGAAGUUACCUGUGAAGGGAGGAGAUACACCAGAGAUACUGGCCAAUGCCACGAACCAGCAUUUUGCACGGCUGCAUCUUUUUAUGCCAAUUUAUGAUUCAUUAAAACAGCCUGCAUUAUCUGAACUGAAGAGAUGGAGAUGCCUUCAUGGACCUUAAGGUGUAUGGUGAUUAGAAGGGAGGAAAAUGUAUUACCUGAAAUUGUACCAGAGCAUGGCAGUGUAUGGAGGUGUGGACUGAAAUCUGCCAUGUGGGUAUAAGCUGGUUUCACGAAAUGGGGAAAGAUGGGAGCCAGUGAAGACAACUCAACAAUGGUUUGGAAGGAGAGUCCACGGUUUAAUGGCAAAAGAGUGCAUACAUUGUCCCCACACUGGAGCCAUGACUCCUCCUCCUCCUCACAAUGAUCUGCAGACGGUUCACACAGCACUUGCCCCACAUGCGCUUCCAGAACCUCCUGGGCACACAAGGUGUAUUUCCCGGGCUCUGCUAUUCUGAUCAUUGCAUUGUUCUCUCUUGUAUCUCUUGUGUUU